UCUGUGCAGUAGGCUGUGGGUUC
rnacentral:miRNA from 1 species